rnacentral:rRNA from 1 species
CCUACGGGAGGCAGCAGUGGGGAAUAUUGCACAAUGGACGAAAGUCUGAUGCAGCAACGCCGCGUGGAGGAUGACACUUUUCGGAGCGUAAACUCCUUUUAUAUAGGAAGAUAAUGACGGUACUAUAUGAAUAAGCACCGGCUAACUCCGUGCCAGCAGCCGCGGUAAU